rnacentral:lncRNA from 1 species
CUCGCUCUUGUUAAGCGACUCGAGGAGAACUGGAAGGAGAAAAGGGGAAGUAAAACGAGAUCGCAGAACACCCCGAGUUGGAAGAGACCCAUAAGGACCACGGAGUCCAACCCUCAGCUCCACACGGGAGCGCCCAGAACUCAGACCCUACAUCGGAGCGCGUAGUCCAGUUGCUCCUUGAACUCCAGCAGCAGCUCCGUGCAGUGCCCACCGCCCUCUGGCGGAGCACCUUUUCGCAGUACCCAGGCCAAGAUCUCUCGGUAACAGCGGAACGCUUCCAGGCUCGCUCUCCUUUCCCGAGGCGGGAUCGGACAGUUCGGCCUCC